UUAGUUAGUUGGUAGGGUAACGGCUUACCAAGGCUACGAUGGAUAGGGGUUCUGAGAGGAUACACCCCCACACUGGAACUGAGACACGGUCCAGACUCCUACGGGAGGCAGCAGUAAGGAAUAUUGGUCAAUGGAGGCAACUCUGAACCAGCCAUGCCGCGUGCAGGAAGACUGCCCUAUGGGUUGUAAACUGCUUUUAAUAGGGAGUAAUUAUAACUACGUGUAGUUAUUUGCAAGUACCUAUAGAAUAAGCAUCGGCUAACUCCGUGCCAGCAGCCGCGGUAAUACGGAGGAUGCAAGCGUUAUCCGGAUUUAUUGGGUUUAAAGGGUGCGCAGGCGGACUAAUCAGUCAGUGGUGAAAUCUACAUGCUCAACAUGUAACCUGCCAUUGAUACUGUUAGACUAGUAUACAAAUGACGUAGCUGGAAUGUGUUAUGUAGCGGUGAAAUGCAUAGAUAUAACACAGAACACCGAUCGUGAAGACAGGUUACGAAUUUGUUAUAGACGCUCAUGCACGAAAGCGUGGGGAUCAAACAGGAUUAGAUACCCUGGUAGUCCACGCUGUAAACGAUGAUAACUUGUUGUUGGGCAUUUAAUGUUCAGUGGCUAAGCGAAA
rnacentral:rRNA from 1 species